rnacentral:misc_RNA from 1 species
GAUGAAGAACGCAGCGAAAUGCGAUAAGUAAUGCGAAUUGCAGAUUUCAGUGAAUCAUCGAAUCUUUGAACGCACAUUGCGCCCGCCAGUAUUCUGGCGGGCAUGCCUGUUCGAGCGUCAUUUCAACCAUCAAGCCCCCGGGCUUGUGUUGGGGACCUGCGGCUGCCGCAGGCCCUGAAAAGCAGUGGCGGGCUCGCUGUCACACCGAGCGUAGUAGAUUUUAUCUCGCUCUGGGCGUGCUGCGGGUUCCGGCCGUUAAACCACCCUUUUAACCCAAGGUUGACCUCGGAUCAGGUAGGAAGACCCGCUGAACUUAAGCAUAUCAAUAAGCGGAGGA